CUGAGACCCGCGCUCCGCAAUCCUCCCCGCCCUCCUCUUAGCCCCACUUUCCGCAGACUCCGGGUCACCCGGGCUUCCGAGGACAGUUAGUGUGUGCAAGCGAGCGCCCGGGUCCCCGAGCCCUCGGAGGGCGCAGCAGCCCCUCCGCCCCGCGGCGUCUCCGGGGCGCGGGCCGUGCGCUCCUGCCCGCGGCCUCCGCACGUGAGCGCAACUUCCCGCAGGAGCCUCGUCCGCAGGGCCCCGCGCACCAGCACCGCGCGCUGCCCCCGCGUGCCCGCCGCGGUCGCAGGGACACGCGGAACCCGCAAGAAAGAGGACGACUCUUUCCCAACUUAGAGUCUUAAAAAAGGAAGUGGGGAGAAAGGGAAGGAAGGUUAUCCACGCCAAAUGACCCAAAGCUCUGCAAAGCUCUGCACUUACGGCCCGCCAGCGCCCGCGCUGUCCCAUUUUACAGAUGGUGUCUCCUUCGCUUGGUCAGAGAUGCCAAGAAACUGGAGUAGCAGCUACAACUUUAUCUGGCACAGUCUGGCAAAUCCAUCAACACUAAAAUUCCAACAGGUAUACGUUUUACUUAAAAAAAAAAAAAAUCGUUCUGGUUUGUCAAUUUCACCGAUCACAGUGGUGGUUCAUCUUGCUUUUUGGCUUUUCCACCACCAUCAUUUCCGUUUUUCACUAAGAUCAUUAAAAUAUUCCUCUGAGCCCCUCCCCAAACCCCUUCUUUCCAGAAAGAGAUCUACUUAUAUGUGAACAGUCUUUGGGUCCCCCAGGCAGUUCAUCCCCCUGGGGGCCUGGGCAAGAGCAUUUCCCAAGGGAGGUGACUCAGAGAUAUCUGAGCCCCUGGCCCUGUCCUGCACUCACACUGCAUAAAGGCCUAUAGCUGUUGCAGUUGCAAUUUUCUCUCUAAACCCC
rnacentral:lncRNA from 1 species